UACACGAACGACAACAAAGACACCGAGCCUAACCUUAAAGAAGGAAAAGAAAAUAUAAAGAAGAAGAAAUAGAAGAAGAAGAAGAAGAAAUAAACAGAAAAAAAGCAAGAAUAUAUAAAGAAAAAGAAUAAACAGGAAUCUAUAUGGCGAGAAGCCUAACUUCCCUUACAGGAAUCUAUCCAAAGAGAAGCCUAACUUCCCUUACUUAGGCCCUCUCUUCUCCCGUCCAGCCCAACCCGCGAGUAAGGCCCCUCCUUUGUCGAGAUCCAAGGAAAGGCACAUACGGGCACUUGGCUGCGGGAAGUUUGGCCGUGCUGGGAGCUUUAAGGACCAGCAAUGAGCCUCCUUCCCGACUG